rnacentral:rRNA from 1 species
UAUUUAAGUUGUUGCAGUUAAAAAGCUCGUAGUUGGAUUUCGGAUGUGAACGACCGGUCCGCCGUUGCGGUGUGCACUGGACGUUUGUAUCUUGUUGUCGGGGACGCGCACCUUGCCUUAAGUGGUCGGGACGCGGAGUCGGCGCUGUUACUUUGAAAAAAUUAGAGUGUUCAAAGCAGGCAACCGCUCUGAAUACAUUAGCAUGGAAUAACGCUAUAGGACUCUGGUCUUAUUGUGUUGGUCUUCGAGACCGGAGUAAUGAUUAAGAGGGACAGUUGGGGGCAUUCGUAUUUCAUUGUCAGAGGUGAAAUUCUUGGAUUUAUGAAAGACGAACUUCUGCGAAAGCAUUUGCCAAGGAUGUUUUCAUUAAUCAAGAACGAAAGUUGGGGGCUCGAAGACGAUCAGAUACCGUCCUAGUCUCAACCAUAAACGAUGCCGACUAGGGAUUGGCGGAUGUUAAAUCGAUGACUUCGCCAGCACCUUAUGAGAAAUCAAAGUUUUUGGGUUCCGGGGGGAGUAUGGUCGCAAGGCUGAAACUUAAAGGAAUUGAC